AGAAGACGGCUCCGUGUGGUCGGCUAAAUCAUUUGGUGCUUCUGGAACCCGUGUUGCUAAAUUGGUAUUUAAUACCUCUUUGACAGGGUAUCAAUAAAUUCUGACUGAUCCUAGAUACGCUGGCCAAUUUGAGCUAAUGACAAAUCCUCAGAUCGGUAGCACUGGUGUGAAUCCAGAUGAUGAAGAAUCAAGGCAAUGUCUUUAGGCUGGUUUAGUAACAAGAAGUCUAAGCAUCAGUACCUCAAACUAUAGAGAUGUACGAAAACACUUGGUGACUAUCUAGCAGAGAGGAACAUUAUGGGAAUCUGUAAAUUUGUUUGGUUAUUGAUACUAAUUUAGAUUUCAAGAUAUUAUACA